GGUGGCAGGGGUGGUCUUCAUUUUCUUUCCUGUCAUGUGGGAACAUAAGAAGACUCUUCAGAGCAGGAGCUGCAGAGGAAGAUGAACGGCAUGAGAAGGUCAGCUGGUGCUGGAAGCGGCCGGUAUCUGAGUAGGAAUGAAGGUGAGUGCAGGAGCAGCUGCUGAGGGGAGGAAGGAAGUCCAUGCUAAUGAGCUCUGAAGCAUCUGCAGGUCCAGUACGAAAGGAGGCAGCAGUGAUGCUGGAGGGCACGUGAUGGAGCUGCAGUGGAAAUGGACACUUGUGGUCCGAUGUCCGACCCCCUCCCUCAUGCUCCGAUCAUCCGAAUUAGCAAGACCUGGCUGAUGGUUGGUGAGUUGGCUUUUGUUGGCUUGGAGAAACGUCUUCCAGUUGCACCUCACAUUAUAUCUGUUGUAUUGAGCUCUCGAUCUCCAGCCCAAACUGGAUCUAUGUAUGAACACAGAAGGAGUAGUUUAGAUCUAUGUUUACCUUGAUUGGAAAUGCAGUGCCAAGGGCUGCACACUGCUGUGACAGCUCUGAGAUUAUGGAAAAGGUAUCUGGUGGGUGAGCGCUUUGCUGGGUGAGCAUCCCCCUGCUGAAGAGCAGGCAGCUGUUUGUAGACAGAAUCAUCCGUGGGGAUUGGAGGCGUUUCCAGCCUUCCAGCUCUUGGCUGUUGCUGAGAGAGUAGAGCUUCCUGCCCAGAGAGAAGGAGCAGCAGAAGGGAUCCCAUGAGAGCAGCCUUAGAAGCCUUUCAGACAAAGCAGGUGGAUCAGGCUGUGGCCUGUGCCUGUGGUUUGCAGUGAAGCCAGCAGGCUUUGCCCCAAGCAGAAUGAGCUGUGGGUGCAGCAUCCAGCAGUGCAAGUGGCCAACAGCUGGAGACAGCAUCACCUUGAGCAGCACUCUUGAGGGAAAUGCUGAGUGUGAAGGAAGGCCACGAAGAAGAGAGUAGCUUGUGGCUGUGUUCCCGGGGUAAGGUUUUUCCUUCCUGAGCUGUUACCUCUCAGGUGCUGUGUGAGUCUUCUGCAGUGUGCCUACAGCUGUGCGAUGUGCUCUGCAGGAAGCGCUGAUGUUGCACAUGCAGCCCUGUCUUUCAUGUCUCAUGUCCAGUUCCACAUUUUGUUUGAAGCACCAUCUUAGAGGCAGCCUUGAUUUCUGCAGCCCCGAGCUUUGUGCCACGAGAGCUCUCCUGCUUCUCGCUGCGAUGUGAGACUGAAUGGAAGGC